GUUAGGAAUCUUCCACAAUGGGGGCAACCCUGAUGGAGCAACACCGCGUGCUGGAUGAAGGCCUUCGGGUCGUAAACAGCUUUUGUAUACGAAGAAUAUGACGGUAAUAUACGAAUAAGGGUCGGCUAACUACGUGCCAGCAGCCGCGGUCAUACGUAGGACCCAAGCGUUAUCCGGAGUGACUGGGCGUAAAGAGUUGCGUAGGCGGCUUAUUAAGCCAGUAGUGAAAUCUGGUGGCUCAACCAUCAACACAUUGCUCGAACUGAUAGGCUUGAGAAUGGUAGAGGUAGUUGGAAUUUCUUGUGUAGGAGUGAAAUCCGUAGAUAUAAGAAGGAACACCAAUGGCGUAGGCAGACUACUGGACCAUUUCUGACGCUGAGGCACGAAAGCGUGGGGAGCGAACCGGAUUAGAAACCCCUGUAGUCC
rnacentral:rRNA from 1 species